rnacentral:tRNA from 2 species
GGGGCUAUGGCGCAGCUGGUAGCGCAUCUGCUUUGCAAGCAGAGGGUCGCCGGUUCGAAUCCGGCUAGCUCCACAA